GCCCAAGGGGUGAGCAGACACACCGAAAUGCAAAUUCGGAGACGCACCCUAAAAGGGUGCCGGGGCUUCUCCCGGUU
rnacentral:tRNA from 1 species